CUCAAGAUGGACUAACUAAUUACACCACACUAUCCUCUAAAUAUGCCCUACCUAUAACCUCCCACUUUUCCUACCUCCAACUGAAAUUGUUUCUGAACAAGAAAAUACAGGGAUGCAAACCCUCGACCCUUCCCAUGACAGAUCUAACAGUAUGGGAACAACUUUGUAUUAAUGCAAAACUCCCCCCACGAUGUAAGCCGAUCUUCAAAUGUUACCAGUUACUCCUAGACUCCACACCUUUCGCUGGGUCUGCUUCGGCCCAGAGAUGGACAAUAGACCUAAAUUGCAAUAUUCCCAUGUCACAGUGGGAUAAAAUUCAUAAUUUCCCACAGAAGUAUAUUAAGGCUUCCGCAUUACUAGAACUUCGGAAACUCCUGUACCGAUGGUACAUGGUCCCCACCAAUAUCAACAAAAUCUAUCCAAAUGCCUCACCA